ACGCNUGGCGGCGUGCUUACACAUGCAAGUCGUACGAGAAACCGGAAACUUCGGUUCCGGGAGUAAAGUGGCGCACGGGUGAGUAACGCGUAGGUAAUCUACCCUUGGGUUUGGAAUAACCCGCCGAAAGGCGGACUAAUACCGGAUAAAAUCUUUCGGAGGGAUCUGAAAGAUCAAAGGUGGCCUCUCCAUGGAUGCUACUGCCUGAGGAUGAGCCUGCGUCCCAUUAGCUUGUUGGUAGGGUAAUGGCCUACCAAGGCUACGAUGGGUAGCUGGUCUGAGAGGAUGACCAGUCACACUGGAACUGGAACACGGUCCAGACUCCUACGGGAGGCAGCAGUGAGGAAUAUUGCGCAAUGGGGGAAACCCUGACGCAGCGACGCCGCGUGGGUGAAGAAGGCCUUCGGGUCGUAAAGCCCUGUCUAGAGGGAAGAAAUUCUCAAUGGAAUAAUACCCAUUGAGAUUGACGGUACCUCUGGAGGAAGCACCGGCUAACUCCGUGCCAGCAGCCGCGGUAAUACG
rnacentral:rRNA from 1 species